GGCCAGGUCCUAUGCAACGUUGGACGGGUGAACUCCGCCAGGACCGGAAGGUAGCAACGGUAACUACGCUCCGCGUGUGCCGUAGGUCGCCUGGCCACU
rnacentral:SRP_RNA from 1 species